GAUUAUUCACAAAGUGUCAGUGGCGGAGAGAACAGGCAGAUCGUAAAGACGCUGUAGAUCCCUCCCCGGAGGCUCGAGCCGCGCCAUCCUUGGCGCGGACGCUUU
rnacentral:ncRNA from 1 species